AGCUCCAAUAGCGUAUAUUAAAGUUGUUGCAGUUAAAAAGCUCGUAGUUGGAUCUCGGGAGCAGGCUGGCGGUCCGCCUCGCGGCGGUUACUGCCUGUCCUGCCCUACCUGCCGUCUCUCCCUUGGUACUCUUCAUUGAGCGCCUUGGGUGGACGGAACGUUUACUUUGAAAAAAUUAGAGUGUUCAAAGCAGGCAGUUCGCCUGAAUAAUGGUGCAUGGAAUAAUGGAAUAGGACCUCGGUUCUAUUUUGUUGGUUUUCGGAACUUGAGGUAAUGAUUAAGAGGGACAGACGGGGGCAUUAGUAUUACGGUGUUAGAGGUGAAAUUCUUGGAUCGCCGUAAGACUAACUACUGCGAAAGCAUUUGCCAAGCAUGUUUUCUUUA
rnacentral:rRNA from 1 species